CCAAGCGCAGGACGUCGUCGGGAACAUUUCGAUAAUUAUUACAAAUACCAAAUGCAGAGGAAUGAGAAAAUAUAACGGGUGCUCUUGAAAUAAUUGUAUAGAUAUCCGUCGUUAAUGGGCGAUGCAUCAGCCCUAAGAGACAAUAAAUAAAUAAAUAUAUAGAUCAUUAUAUAUAGAAAGGUAUGAUCUAUUGAUAAUUCGGUCAGACUUACCAGGGUGUAUGACAAGUAUGCGUUAACGUGACGUAACGAACUCCCAAUUCAUAAUAAAUCCUCAAAAUAGCCAAACUGGAGUCUAAAGAGUGACCACCCUCUACCCCGAUCAUCGAUGCAAUUCGACCACUUCUCCAAACAACUUCAAUAUCUUUGGCAUAUUUAACAAAUUGCAAAUGUUCUGGAUAAAGAUCUAUAAAUCUCUUGAUCACGUCUAUUUGCCGAAGCGUCAAUUGUACCGCAUCUUUAUAUUGAGAAUUACACGCUUUUAAACGAGGUAAAUCCGUGUAACAAGUUGGACAUGCUUCUCUUCCCCAAACUGGAUCAUUAACGAGUAAUUUUUCAAAUGGGAAUUCUUUUAAAUUGUUAUUUAAUUUCUCGUACAAAUUAAAUGGUAAAUCGUUGUGUCUAAAAGAUUAUUAUCAAUAAAUUCAAUCGUACAAUAUCGAUCGAGAUGAUACGUACCCAUC
rnacentral:lncRNA from 1 species